rfam:Schistosoma haematobium scaffold92_1, whole genome shotgun sequence.
AUCCACGUGAUGAGUCAAAAAUAAGACGAAACGCACGUCCUGGAU